rnacentral:rRNA from 1 species
CCUACGGGGGGCUGCAGUGAGGAAUAUUGGUCAAUGGGCGCGAGCCUGAACCAGCCAAGUAGCGUGAAGGAUGACUGCCCUACGGGUUGUAAACUUCUUUUAUAAAGGAAUAAAGUGAGGCACGUGUGCCUUUUUGUAUGUACUUUAUGAAUAAGGAUCGGCUCACUCCGUGCCAGCAGCCGCGGUAAUACGGAGGAUCAGAGCGUUAUCCGGAUUUAUUGGGUUUAAAGGGAGCGUAGAUGGGUUGUUAAGUCAGUUUUGAAAGUUUGCGGCUCAACCGUGAAAUUGCAAUUGAUACUGGCAGCCUUGAGUACAGUUGAGGUAGGUGGAAUUCGUGGUGUAGCGGUGAAAUGCUUAGAGAUCACGAAGAACUCCGAUGGCGAAGGCAGCUUACUAAACUGCCACUGACAUUGAUGCUCGAAAGUGUGGGUAUCAAACAGGAUUAGAUACCCGAGUAGUC